UACGGCCACAUCGUGUUGAAACACUGGUUACUGUACGAUCACCGAAGUUAAGUAACGUCGAUUCUUGUCAGUACCUAGAUGGGUGACCGCUUGGGAAUACAAGGUGCUGUAAG